rnacentral:rRNA from 1 species
UACGGGGGGGGCAAGCGUUGUUCGGAAUUAUUGGGCGUAAAGGGCGCGUAGGCGGCUUGGCAAGUGGAAGGUGAAAUCCCUCGGCUUAACCGAGGAACUGCCCUCCGAACUGCUUUGCUUGAGGCCGGGAGAGGUGAGUGGAAUUCCCAGUGUAGCGGUGAAAUGCGUAGAUAUUGGGAGGAACACCAGUGGCGAAGGCGGCUCACUGGACCGGUUCUGACGCUGAGGCGCGAAAGCGUGGGGAGCGAACAGG